AAUCACAAGCACAUGGCAACUGGGACUACCUACCAUGCCCUGAACACACGCGAAAAAGCAUGGAGGUUAUCCAAACUGGCCUGGGUCAUGGAUCACUGCCUGUGAAGAGAGUUAAUAUCUGCUCUUACCGAAUGGAAUCAUACAAAGAUCAAAGGAUGACAUGGAUGACCACGGAGUGUGGUCAGAAGCUCAAGAAAGAAGAUUACAUUAAAAGACCCUCCCACCUAAAGGGCUGGGAUGAUUACAAGGGA